rnacentral:misc_RNA from 1 species
CAAUGCUGAUUGGGCUUCAUGUAAUUUCUCAAGAAAGUCUCUGACAGGCUUUUGUAUCUUUCUUGGUAAUUCUUUAGUAUCAUGGAAGACUAAAAAAUAGUCCACUAUCUCUAAAUCUUCUGCUGAAGCAAAGUAUGGAUCCAUGGCUUCAACAGUGUGUGAGUUGCUUUGGAUUUCCUAUAUUCUUAAGGAUUUACAGGUUCUUGUUCAUUUGCCUAUUCAUUUAAAGUGUGACAACAAGGCUACUUUUCACAUUGCAGCUAACCCUAUUUUUCAUUAGAGAACUAAGCACAUUGACAUUGAUUGUCACAUAGUGAGGGACCAAUUGCAAAAUGGUUUCAUUGCUCCUGCUAAUGUUUCUUCUAAUUUGCAACUUGCAGAUGUCUUUACGAAACCUUUAUCUACAAAUCAACACUAAUUCUUUGCUCCCAAGUUGAAUCUUGUGUCUUUGCCACCCAAUCCAACUUGAGGGGGGAUGUAGAAGACGCUAAAAUUUUUUGGUUGUAAAUUAUUUAGCUCAGUUUGUCGUACAGUUAGUUUGUUGGAAAUGUUUGUUAUAAGUUGCUGACUUGGACCACUAGUUAGCUAGCUGCUGCUGUAUACAAACUUUCUUCUUGUAUUCAUUCAUGUGUGGUGAAAUUGAGAAUCAUUUUUCAUUUUUCAUCUACAAUUUUAUCAUGGUAUCAGAGCAGGAAGAGAUCUAGGAUUUGAAGUGACGGUUACCAAGAAAUCACAAUCGAAGAAUUAGGGAAAAAUUAGGGAAAACUUUCUAAGGAUGGAAGAAAAUCGAGUCCGUGAAACUGCUACGAGAGAAGAUGCGAGAGGUCAGAUCAAUGGAGUUCAAACUACUGGAGAUCCUUUGUAUUUGCAAAACUCGAAUCAUCCAGGUAUGGUUCAAGUCUCUACUCCUCUGAAUGGAAGAAAUUUUUGCUCUUGGAAUAGAGCAAUGAGAAUAGCCCUAGGGGCGAAGCAGAAAUUAGGAUUUGUUAAUGGAUCAAUUUCAAUGCUGCAAGAAGGAACUGAAGGAUUUGAGCAGUGGAAACGUUGUGAUUAUAUGGUUACAUCAUGGAUUCUUAAUGCCAUAACAAAAGAUUUGGUUGAUGCAUUUAUCUAUACAACUUCAGCAAAAGAAUUAUGAUAGGAAAUCUUUGAGAGGUAUGAUGGGAGUAAUAGUGCCUUGAUCUAUCAAUUGCACAGGCAGAUAUCUUCUAUUUUACAGGAGAAUGCUACAGUUACUGCGUAUUUUACAAAACUUAAAAGGUUGUGGGAUGAGUUAGGAUCUGUUAAGUGUUGCCUUCGUGCACUUGUGGUGUAGCAAAAGAAAUAGCAUAUCUGAUUGACAGAAAUAGGUUGAUGCAAUUUCUGACGGAACUUAAUGAAAGCUUUGAUUCUGUUAGAAAUCAAGUAUUGUUAACGGAUCCCCUACCAUCCAUCAAUAAAGCGUAUUCCACAGUGUUGAAAUUUGAGACACAAAAGCAAGUAUUGAGUAAUUUUCUAAGAUGAAUGAAUCAGUCUCUUUAUUCAAAGUCACAAGGUCAGUCUCAAGGAUAUAAGAAGGAACAAAAUAAGUAUGACCCUAAAAAAGGCCAUUGUAGCUAUUGUGACAUGGAUGGGCACAUUAGAAAAAAUUGUUUCAAGCUGAUUGGAUGUCUUGACUGGUUUAAAACUAGAAAUAAAGGGCAACAGAAUAGUUUUAAGCAGUAUAAACAAAAUGCUGGACAAGGAAAUAAGGUGGCUGCCAUAGCAGAAGGCACUUUUGUUUCUGAUACUCCGAUUGAGAUAAAUGGAGAAAGUUCAAAAAUUGAAGAGUUGAGCAGUAUGCUUGGUUCUCUACAGUAGGAAAUUCAAAAACUGGUUAAAGGAAAGGGUUUGUCUUCAACCAAUACUCCGAAUGCUACAAGUGGACAGUAUUGCAGUUCCACUUAUUAGAAUGCAACGAAUUUUGCUGGUAAAAUUAACUCUGUUAGUGUCAGUUGUGUAAGAGAAUGUGAUGAUAGUGUUUGGGUCAUAGACACAGGAGCCACUGACCACAUGACCCUAGUUAAAAAACUUUUCACUUCCUUCCAUAACCUUCAAAUGCCUGUUACGGUUUCUCUACCAAAUGGUACUCUUAAUCAAGUCACCAAAGCUGGAACCAUUACUUUACAUUCAACCAUAGUUCUUAAAGACACAUUCUAUUUGCCAUAUUUCAAAUACAACCUUUUAUCAGUAAGUAAGUUGACAAAAUCCACAAACACCAAAUUAACCUUUUAUCCUUCUUGUUGUGUAAUACAGGACCUGCAGACCGAGGAAGUACUAGCUGUGGGAAGAGAAGCAGCAGGCCUUUACAAAUUAGACAAAUUGAGUUUUUCUCCUGGUAUCAUUCAAAAAUGUUUAACACAUCUUCAUAAUUCCUUGUCUUCUUUCUCCUAUGUAAAUACCAUUAUCUCUAAAGCUUGUUCUCUCAAAAUUGAUAUUAAUAAAGAGAGUGUUUUGUGUUCUAAAA